GAUGAAGAACGUAGCGAAAUGCGAUACGUAAUGUGAAUUGCAGAAUUCAGUGAAUCAUCGAAUCUUUGAACGCACCUUGCGCCCUUUGGCCAUUCCGAAGGGCAUGCCUGUUUGAGUAUCAUGAACACCUCAACUCUCAUGGCUUGCCAUGAUGAGCUUGGACUUUGGGGGUCUUGCUGGCCUGUGGUCAGCUCCUCUCAAAUGAAUUAGCUUUCCAGUGUUUGGUUGGCAUCACAGGUGUGAUAACUAUCUACGCUUGUGGUUUCCACCAGGUAACCUUCAGUAACAUGGGGGUUUGCUGGAGCUCAUAAAUGUCUCUCCUCAGUGGGGACAGCUCUUUGAACGUUUGAUCUCAAAUCAGGUAGGACUACCCGCUGAACUUAAGCAUAUCAAUAAGCGGAGGA
rnacentral:misc_RNA from 1 species